rnacentral:rRNA from 1 species
AUUGAACGCUGGCGGCAUGCCUUACACAUGCAAGUCGAACGGUAACAGGUCUUCUGAUGCUGACGAGUGGCGCACGGGUGAGUAAUACAUCGGAACGUGCCCAGACGUGGGGGAUAACGAGGCGAAAGCUUUGCUAAUACCGCAUACGAUCUAAGGAUGAAAGCAGGGGACCGCAUGGCCUUGCGCGUUUGGAGCGGCCGAUGGCAGAUUAGGUAGUUGGUGGGAUAAAAGCUUACCAAGCCGACGAUCUGUAGCUGGUCUGAGAGGACGACCAGCCACACUGGAACUGAGACACGGCCCAGACUCCUACGGGAGGCAGCAGUGGGGAAUUUUGGACAAUGGGCGAAAGCCUGAUCCAGCAAUGCCGCGUGCAGGAUGAAGGCCUUCGGGUUGUAAACUGCUUUUGUACGGAACGAAAAGGCUCUGGCUAAUACCUGGGGCACAUGACGGUACCGUAAGAAUAAGCACCGGCUAACUACGUG